UCCGUCCCAGUGGACGCAGACUGAAAAGCCUCCGGCCGCUCCCUCAUGACAUCACAUGGUCGCAGAAUGACUUCUCAAACGUUCAUCUGUGAGGCAAGACUUCCUAAACACAGAGCGCGCUCACUGCUCUGUUGAUACUGCGAGCAGAAAAAGAAAAGAAAAAAGUCUUUCUUUUAUAUAAGGAGCAUACAACCAUUCUAGGUCUAUUCAUAAGCCACAAAGUUAUCAGUGAUCUCAUCACCUGAUGCUGCUUCCUGUCUUCGUCGUCAUGGCGACUCUUUAAGAGCCCCGCAGCACUAAAACAGGCUCAGUAAGGAUGCCUGAUGCCCGAUUGCACUGAAAUUCAUGCCAAAUCCACACAGCGCUUGGGGAAAAGAGUAGUCCCCCGACAUGGAGGAGGAGGAGGAAGGCAGGGCGAACGGCUGCGGACUGAACCAGGAGAGGAGGAACUCCGACUGGGGGCGGAUCGCCCUGCUGGACAAGACCAUGGAGUUCUUCCAGACCUGCGACGUAGAGGGCAAAGGCUGUAUUUCCCGCACCGAUAUGAGGAGGCUCCACAGACGGCUGCCUCUGUCCGCGGAGGAGCUGGACGAUGUGUUUGAUUCCCUGGAUACAGGCCGCACUGGCUACCUCACGCUGGAGGCAUUCUCCUCCGGAUUCAGUCAAUUCCUGCACGGCCGCAGGAUCUCUGUGGCCGACGACCAAAAUGUAAAUCGGGCCCCCGGCCCCAUCGUCAGGGCCAAGGAAGCGCUCUAUCAGAGCCAAUGGGAAGCCAAGCUGUCUGGGGUCGAAGACGAGGAGGAGGAGGGGCACUUCUCUAUGCUCCUGGAGAGCCUGGGGGCCAGCAGUGUGUUUGAGGAUCCGGGCGAGGUGCGCAACCUUUGGGCUCAGCUCAGGCGGGAUGAGCCUCACCUCUUGUCCAAUUUCGAGGAGUUCUUGGCCCGGGUCACACACCAGAUAAAAGACGCCCACAAGGAGAAGAAGGAGAUGGAGAGCGCCCUACAGAGGAAGGCUGCAACACACGACAGCGAGAUCCGUUAUUUAUACGAAGAAAUGGAGGCGCAGAUCAAAAACGAGAAAGACAGGCUGGUGCUGAAGGACGCCGAGCGUCUCCAGGUGCGCAGCCACGACCUGGAGCACCAACUGUUCUCCAAGGAGAAGGAGCUGGAGCAUCUGUUCCAGAAGCAGAAACGGUUAGAACUCCAGUGCCACGAGCUCCACAGCGAGAAGCAGGAGAGCAACGUGGAGAACGUCAAGCUGAAGGUGACCAACGACGAGCUGUGCCGAGCGCUGGAGAGCACCAGCCAGGAGCUGGGCCUGGCCCAGGAACAGCUGGCCAUGCUGCAGGAGCAGGCCGCCCGCCUGCAGCAGGAGAAAGAGAUGGAAAUGUACCGAGUGACCGAGGGACUGCAGAGAGAGAAGCAAAGUCUCCAGAAGCAGCUCGACCUGCUCAGAGAGAUGAACAAGCAUUUAAAAGACGAACGGGACAUAUGCUGCGGUGUGCCCCGGACCUCACUGAGAAAGAAGCAGAAGCAGAGAACAGGCCUCGCCAAUAUAUUUGAUGACACCAGCCAGGCAGUAAAAAGAGCCCCGCUGUUGGUGGACGGGUCCUACCAGUCUCUGGAGGCCCUGCCUAUAGAGCACCUUCAAAUCGUGUUCGUUGCUCCCUCUUCGUGUAGUGAAGAUGACACCCCCGUUGCCGCCCCCUUCUCCUCCUUCUCCUCCUCCAUCACCACCACCACCACCACCACCACCGUCAGCACCCCCGCAUGUCAACAACGGCCGGCAGCGAAGAAAAACACUGGAUUAGCCAACGGCCACGCCAACCCCGCCCAGUCCAAGGCGCACGAUGUGAAGCCGAAGGCCAAAAAAUCCAGCGGAAAGAUGGCCGCCACUAAGAGAGUGACGGCCAAAGACAGAGAGCGAGCGAAGAAAGUGGAACUUAAGAAGAAGACGGGGGUGAAGGAGGAAGUCCUGGACGCCCCUCCAGACGGGUGGCCCCUACGUCGGGUUAUCUCCAUCGAGGAGGACCACCUGCCCCACCUGCUCCAAGGGGGACCUCAACCUUUGCUGCACCAGCUCAGUGAGGAGGAGGACGAGAUGGCCGAUGAGGAAGAGGAAGCUCAGAGUGACCUCGAAAGCAGCGUUGCCUUGGCGGUGGACCCGUCCGCCACGCCACCCUCGAGUCACGCCCCCCCACCAGCUAGGAAGUCCCGCGUUAAAAAGACGCCCAUGGCCCCUCGAGGACAACCGGUGGGAAAGGAGACCCAUCAAAACACAAGAGCGGCGGCGCUGUUCGCCCCGGACCGCCUGUUCAAAGUGGUGCUGGUGGGAAACUCGAGCGUAGGCAAGACAUCCCUGCUGCGCUCCUUCUGCGAGGGCCGGUUCCACCCGUCCACCACCGCCACCGUGGGUGUUGACUACAGUGUGAAGACGCUAACACUGGACAACAUGCAGGUGGCCAUGCAGCUCUGGGACACGGCGGGCCAAGAGAGGUACCGAAGCAUAACCAAGCAGUUCUUUCGGAAGGCCGACGGUGUGGUGGUGAUGUACGACGUCACCGUGGAGGAGAGCUACAGGGCCGUGCAACCGUGGCUCAGGAAUGUCCAGGAAGCGGCAGGAGAAGGGAUCCCCAUCCUCCUUUUGGGCAACAAAAUGGACAUGGACGGAGACAGGGAGGUGUCAUUCAAAGACGCUGAGCAGCUGGCUCACGAAAACCAGGUGAUGUUCUUUGAGGUCAGUGCCUACACUGCCAAGAAUGUGACCGAGUCCCUCACACGCCUGGCCAGGUGAGAUCAGAUCUGACACCUGCGUCAAACAGUGAAUGCUGCCGUGGAACAAAUCGAAUAGUGCUAAUGGAGCAGGAGGACAGGGUGAGAGAUGCAACAGUCAUCCUGAGUGCUCUGCCCAUAAAGAAGAAAGCCUGCUGCAAGUGAAGUGCAAACUCAAUUUACUGAGUGUCCGGUCGCUGAUUGGGGCGUCACAAGACGGGGAUGAGAACCGCGCUCGAACUUUAUGGUAGAACGUCUUCGCUUUGUCCCACAAAUGCUCCACACGGAGGACAUUUUAACGUGGACAUUUCUGAUGAGUGUGAAUGAUGAGAGAGGGAGAGCUCGUCUAAAGCACCAUUUCCUGUACAUAAUACUGUGUGGCAGAAAAUCACAGUAGUGUCUAAGAUUUAAGAUAUGUUUACAUAACAUAAACAUAAAUCAUAUCUACAGUGUGUAUUGCUUUUUCAUAAAAUGCUAGCUUACAAGUGUUGAUUACUUUGUUUUUGUUUUGUUUAUGUAAUGUAGUUAUAAUUCAUAUUUAAGCUUAAAGUGAACAGAAUUAUUUGGAUCUCUGUUUAAAUGAAAACAUGAAUCAAAUUCGACAUUUUAUUCAUCAUCGUUGUCCACGUAUUUUUCUUCUUUUUUUUUCCUUACAUAUUCUUUGUCCAAUCAAAACAAAGUGGUACAUAUUGCAUCUGUGUUUGUUGUUGUUCUGAGGCGUUGUUCAGUUUUAUUCUGGCGCUAAAGCACGUUUGUUCUCAAUUAUCCUCAAUUAAAGAUUUUUUUAAAAUUA